CAGCCGCCGCGGUAAUACCGGCGGCCCGAGUGGCGGUCACUAUUAUUGGGCUUAAAGCGUCCGUAGCCGGGUUGGGAAGUCCUCCGGGAAAUCUGGCCGCUUAACGGUCAGAAUGCCGGAGGAUACUCCCAGCCUAGGGAGCGGGAGAGGCCGAGGGUAUUCCCGGAGUAGGGGUGAAAUCCUAUAAUCCCGGGAGGACCACCGGUGGCGAAGGCGCUCGGCUGGAACGCGUCCGACGGUGAGGGACGAAGGCCAGGGGAGCAAACCGGAUUAGAUACCCGGGUAGUCCUGGCGGUAAACGAUGCGGACUUUGUGUCGGACAAGCUAUGAGCUUGUCCGGUGCCGGAGGGAAACCGUUAAGUCCGCCGCCUGGGGAGUACGGCCGCAAGGCUGAAACUUAAAGGAAUUGGCGGG
rnacentral:rRNA from 1 species